rnacentral:misc_RNA from 1 species
GAAAUGCGAUACUUGGUGUGAAUUGCAGAAUCCCGUGAACCAUCGAGUCUUUGAACGCAAGUUGCGCCCCUUGGUAUUCCAUGGGGCAUGCCUGUUCGAGGUCAAAAGUGUUAAAUGGUCUUCAUGGAAGCGAAUAAUAGUAGGCUCCAAGGCAAAUUGUGCUGCGCUUGAAACAAAUAUAUUAGCUGCCAAUGUAUUUAAGGCGAGUCUAGGCACAAAGGCAUAGACAGACACCCAACACCAAGCAUAGCUUGAAGGUACAAAUGAC